rnacentral:lncRNA from 1 species
GUCAAACUCUGUGGUGGCGUUGGCGUCCUAGAGCUCCGGAGUUGCUUACCCUUCCUGUAAGGGCAAUCGGACCCUUUCCGGUGAGGGAACCUCUCUCCAGACAUGAUCAAGAGAAACUGGCGAGGGACUGACAUGAUCUAGCUUACCUUGGGUCACCGAACGGAUUUGGUUUGUUUGUUCUUUCUCUACCCCAAGAAAAAGUCGCUAGCUACUGCAAGGUUUUGUUUUCAAACAAGGAACAGCAUGCCAAAAGAAAGUGCUGCGCCUACCUGAUGAGCAAGGGAAUAAUAUUCUUCUAGAAAACUUCUUGUAGUAGUAUCAAGUCUCCCCUUGAUUCUGAUAAACAUUGCGCGCGAAGUUUACACUUUAAGGAGGAGGCCGUUUCCCCCUUCUGAAAAGAACUCAUGUGAGAAUAUAUCUCUGUUGUAUUCAAAAGGCAUGUGACAUAAUUAUCCCAGCGAUCACUAAAACUGUAAAUUUGGAUGCAAUUAAGAGAGAAAACUCCACACAUUUAUGGAAAUUUAAGUGAUGGAAUGUAAUCCAGAAUGUACUUUUUUAUUUCUGAAAUCUCUGUAAAACAGUACAAUGGAAAAAUGAAAACGAAAGACAUAAUUGAGGAAAUCCAACAUCCCACAAAAAGGAAUUCUAGAAAGAUUUGCAGCUUGCUGGCUUGCUGAGUGGAAAAUGAUUCUUUCCCAGUUCUCCUUGGUUUCUUCCUUUCAUGAAUUGAUUAACACUGAGAGAUUAUGUUUUAAUUAUGUCGACUAGAGGUUUUAAAUGAUUCUAGGUUUCUGUGUCCAUUUGUUUUCCUAGGUUUGGGGAAUUUGCUACUGCAAUAUCGUUGUAUAGAUAUUCUUUGCUUUAGUGAGAAACUCAGCUCCUUCUACUCUGUGGUUCUUAGCUUUAGUCUAUUGUACACAUCACAGAGUUAAUGAAAGCUGUGGUCAUACUUGAUUUUUUCUUCAUUACUAUUGAAAUAAAGCAUAUCCUUGACCUUGUCUCCAAUCUCUAUUUUCAAGUCUGUUGGGGAUACAUUCCACUAUUGUUUGAUUGAAAUAUCCAUUUCCAACAUUUCUAUUACUUUGCUUCUUUUUUUUUUGUCCCCACCAAAAAUAAAUAUUUAUAGAAUUGUAAAUCAAAAUGAAACAUUUUUCUGUAUGUAUAAAAACAAAAGGAAACAAACAAAUAAAAAAAUCUGCAUAUUGA